rnacentral:rRNA from 1 species
CUGAUGGAGCACGCCGCGUGAGCGAUGAAGGCCUUCGGGUCGUAAAGCUCUGUUGUUAGGGAAGAACAAGUGCGAGAGUAACUGCUCGCACCUUGACGGUACCUAACCAGAAAGCCACGGCUAACUACGUGCCAGCAGCCGCGGUAAUACGUAGGUGGCAAGCGUUGUCCGGAAUUAUUGGGCGUAAAGCGCGCGCAGGUGGUCCUUUAAGUCUGAUGUGAAAGCCCACGGCUCAACCGUGGAGGGUCAUUGGAAACUGGGGGACUUGAGUGCAGAAGAGGAAAGUGGAAUUCCAAGUGUAGCGGUGAAAUGCGUAGAGAUUUGGAGGAACACCAGUGGCGAAGGCGACUUUCUGGUCUGUAACUGACACUGAGGCGCGAAAGCGUGGGGAGCAAACAGGAUUAGAUACCCUGGUAGUCCACGCCGUAAACGAUGAGUGCUAAGUGUUAGAGGGUUUCCGCCCUUUAGUGCUGCAGCUAACGCAUUAAGCAC